GCCGAGGGCCAUGUCCUGCCACUGCCCCGGCAUUUAUUGCGCAUGACCCCUGCAAACCCCCAGUUCACUCAACAAUUAAUGCGGAUCUCCGGCUUACUCCAUAAUUAAUGCGGAUCUCCGGCUUACUCCAUAAUUAAUGCGGAUCUCCGGCUUACUCCACCAUUAAUGCGCGUGGCUCCUGUUAUCUACGGACCCGCAA
rnacentral:lncRNA from 1 species